GAAAAUAUUAUAGUAUGAGGUUCUUGGCAUUUUAAGGAAUUAUAGGAAAUUCUCAUGAAGACAGUUUUGCCCCUGGUACUAAAUUCUAAAAGACAAAUCUUACAUAGAGCUUAUGUAGAAGGAAUUGAAUACUGGGAAUAGACAGUAUCCUCAAAAAAAGAGAGAAAUAGUUCAUGUGGCAAACUUCAAUAAAAGCUAGAGCUAUAAAACUAAAGCAUAUUUCACUGGAGACUGAUUUUCUUUUCCCCCAAGGAAAUUUACAAGGGCCUAAGUACCAUAAUCUUCUGGUAGUCUUAGUCUUCCAUUAACUCUUUCAACUUAUGGUAUGUAUUAUGGACCGAACUGUAUUUCCCCUAAAUUCGCAUGUUGAAACCCUAACUCACAGUAUGACUGUAUGUGGAGCUAGGGCCAUAAAGAGGUAAUAGAAGUUAAAUGGAAUCUUGAGGAUGGAGCCUUAUAAACCAAUAGGACUGGUGUGAUGUUCUGGUGUGAAGAGGAAGAGACAUAAGAGGGUCUCUCUCUCUCUCUCAGCCGCACAGAGGAAAGACCAUGUGAGGAUAUGGUGAGAAAGUGGCCAUCCACCAACCAGGAAGAGAAGCCUCACCAGAAACCAAUCUUGCCAGCACCUUGAUCUUGGACUCCAAGCCUCUAAGACUGGAAAAUUUGAAGCCAGAGGCCCCCCCGCCCCUGCCACCCCAAUUCCACAUUUCUAAGAAGGACCGAAAGAGCUGGUAGUCUGCUUCCUGGGGGGAAGCCUGAAACAGAAGUAGAUGUUAGUAGCUGCCCAGAAGAACCAGAGCUGCCACUGCCCUUGCCAGAAGACCUGAUUUCUGUGUGUAUGGCCACCACCUCGUACUGCUCACUUCUGCAUCCAAAUCUCAGGCACUCUGACCUGCCAUGUGGCUGCAGACUCCUGCUCUCAAGUUGUCCUGACAUGCUCUCCCUGAACAUCUACAACAUACAUACAGCACCUGGAUCUGUGAAUUAAUUACUAUCUAGGCUACCACCGAGACGCUUUCUAAAUGGCCGAGUGCAAGGAUCUUCCUGUUUCUUAUCGAAGUACAUUCUUCCAUCGCAGCCCUGAGUCCAUGAAUUGACCCUUAACUAUGAAUUCCUGCUACACUUCCCUUUCAGUCAGCCAUUUUAGAGCAGGAAGUAGCCAGAAGCAGGUGUCAGCCGGCAGCUGUGGCUUAUAAUUCAUACAUAUAUUUUUAAAGAUUUUAUUUAUUUAUUUGACAGAGAGAGACACAGCGAGAGAGGGAGCACAAGCAGGGGGAGUGGGAGAAAGAGAAGCGGGCUCCCCGCUCUGCGGGGCUGGAUCCCAGGACCCUGAGAUCAUGACCCGAGCCGAAGGCAGACGCUUAACCGACUGAGCCACCCAGGCACCCCAUAAUUCAUAUUUUUUUGCAGGUAAAUCUAUCUAAGCUGGUUUCAAGUUAUCUUGUUAGAAAUUAAAAAUGUGAGAGUGGGGGGAUAGGUAGUUUUACAUGCUUAAGCAUUGUUCAGUAAACAAAUUUGUUCAGAAACUCAAAAGUUAAAGGAAAGAGAGCUUUGCUUGGAGUUCUAAAAUUUUAUAGGUUUUUCUUCCAAAUGGUGAAAAAUGGAAUACAGUAUUAUUAUUAUCAUUAUUAUUAUUAUUCCAUGGACAGGUGUGAGCUUGGGUAUAUUAAAGUUCUUGGCUUUCUUUUGAUUUUA